rnacentral:rRNA from 1 species
AUGGGGAACUGCGGGUUGAAGCCGAAGGCGCUUGGCGACGACGACGCUCCCCCGCCUGCCGAGCCGCCGACGGCACCGGCGACCGGCGCGGAACAGGAGGCGGCGCUGCCGGCGGUGGUGGAAGAGGCACAGGUACCUGCGGAGGAAGCUAGCCGGGACGUCGUGGUCGGGCAACAGAGUGAGGAGGGUACCAGCGCAGCAGCUGAAACGAAAGAACAGGAAGAACCGAAGGAAACAGAGGGCACGGAGCCCCCGAAGGAGAAGGAAACGGUGGCGGAGGAGGCCCCCUCCGCCGGCGAACUUCCGACGUCCACGCCGGCCAGCGUCGCCUGA